AGAGUUUGAUCAUGGCUCAGGAUGAACGCUAGCUACAGGCUUAACACAUGCAAGUCGAGGGGAAACGAUAUUGGAAGCUUGCUUCCGAUAGGCGUCGACCGGCGCACGGGUGAGUAACGCGUAUCCAACCUGCCCACCACUUGGGGAUAACCUUGCGAAAGUAAGACUAAUACCCAAUGAUAUCUCUAGAAGACAUCUGAAAGAGAUUAAAGAUUUAUCGGUGAUGGAUGGGGAUGCGUCUGAUUAGCUUGUUGGCGGGUAACGCCACAAGGCGACGAUCAGUAGGGGUUCUGAGAGGAAGGUCCCCCANAUUGGAACUGAGACACGGUCCAAACGUCCUACGGGAGGCA
rnacentral:rRNA from 1 species